AGAUGAUGUAAGGGCUGUGCCGUGCAGAGCUUCUCCGGGGCCAUGUUGGAAUGGAGCUCUCUGGGAAGAAUGCAGGCACCCUAUCUGUGUUACAGCAAGCCUUGCCCGUCUCCCCACCAAGCUAAAACUCUUCCAAAAGAGAUGCGCGCUUUCCUCAAUGCUCAUCAUGUAGCUCACUUUGUUGCCCCAGCAGCAUGGUUAUCACCCAGGUAAUUCCAAACACAAUCGCUUUUCUACAAGUCACUAAAGCUUUACCUUUAUCGAAAGCAUGAUAGUACCACAUUGUCCUUCUGCUAGGAAGAACAGCAUUAAAUAUCCUGUAUUGAAUGCGGUGAUAUGAAAUGGCAUUUGCCCAGCAAUUCAUAGAAUAAAUGAUCUUUGCCCUCCUGUGGAUAAUUGGAUCAUGAAGGUAGGUGAGGGCUUAACCGUUACCAGGGGAGAUUGCUUUGGGGGAGGUGUUUAAGGGCUGGGUAGUAACUCCUGUGUCUGAGGGGAAAGACACAAAGAGGAGGGGGAAGAACCAGCAUUUACUGAGUCCUGUACUGGGCCAGACACUAGUAUGGAUGCUUUAUGAGAUUACUCUCAUCUCAUCCAUUCUCUUCUUGUCCCUAAUUUAUUCUCGUGCCACCCAUUGCCUUGCUCAAUACACUUUAAUGGUUUCCAGUCACUCUUUGCACAAAGACCUAAUUCCUGAUCACUGGCUUUGAGACCUGGCAUGGUUUGGCUCUUGCUGAUGGGGUUGGCCUGCUUUUUUCUUCAUCUCUUUGUUUUUGGUUCUUCAGUUGUACCUGAACUUCUUUCCUUUGGCCAUAAUUGUUUGGUUCACUUAUAUAUCCCGAAGCCUCGCCCACUUUUGGCACAGAAUAAGUGCUCGAUAAAUAUUCUUGGCUGGAAGAACAAACAAGUGAAUGCAUUUAAUCCUUUCAACCAUCCUCCCAAGAUGAGGAAAUAGAGUGUCAGAUGGUUUCAGAUCCAUGCCUGAGCCUCAGCUGAUAACGUGUAGAAGUGAGCCACGUUUCAGCAAUGCUAUGCAGGUUUCUCUAAGGUCUUGUGUGGGGGCCACAUUGAGACCCCUUAGUAGAUGGAGAAGCGCACACUUAGGAACUGUGCUACCCAACAUGAUGGAGAGAUAAGCAGGACUGGGCCAGCCAACUAUAUCCUGAUGCAAUUUUCUUUCCCCUCAGAUGUGUUUGUGGCCCUGGUGUUCCCUGAGAAGUUUUAUUUAUCUGUGGAUUUUAUCUGAAGAAAGGCAGUCAGAGGAUGUUCUUUAGAGGCCAAGCACAGGACCAACCCAGAAAGGAUACGCAGUAAGAAUUUACUGACACUGAAUCUGGAAGAUUUGACAUUCUCUGCCCUUCUUUCAGUCUGGAAUAAGGAGCAGUAGGCAUUUGCCAAUUUGAGUGGUCCUCCCUGAGACUGCUGAGUAGUUUGGCAUUGUGGGAAUUUGUUUCACACUAUUCUGAGUGUGCAAUCCAACCCUAAACCCUCUCACUACAGUUCCAUCCCAUUGCUAUUACUUGAAAUAAAGGGCAAGUGUGUAUGCGGGUGUGCUAAGUCAUUUCAGUUGUGUCCGACUCUGCAUGACCUCACUGACUGUAGCCCGCCAGGCUCCACUGUCCAUGGGAAUCUCCAGGCAAGAAUACUGGAGUGGAUUGUCACACCCUCCUCAAGAGGAUCUUCCUGACCCAGGGAUAGAACCCAUGUCUCUUACAUCUCCUGCAUUGGCAGGAGAGAUUCACAAGCUGCUAUGAAAGUGAUGGCUACAGGUGUCUAAAUCUGAUUGAGGAGAGAAUGUCUUGAAUGAGAAUUCCAGGCAAGUAGUUCAUUUGGGAGAUGGCUCCAGGAAGCCCUGAGCUGAGUGGACGGGAAAGGCAGCCAGUGCAGGAGAUUUAGCAGGCAAGCCACCAGAGCCUCAUUUCACUGGGGACGUCACGGAACAUGCAUCUCUGGGUUAUGCCCCCUCUCGCAUAGGAGUGAGGGAUUUGGGGUAUUUAUCCACCAACACCUGUCCAUUAUUAACUGUGGGCUGCUCCCAGGGGAUGUCAGGUCCCAGGAAGUCUAGUAGGCUGUGCACUCUGGGAGAGCAGGCUCCAGGGCCCCCAGAAGGGAAAUAAAGUGACAUGGGGGUGCUCUCCAAAGUCAGGCCAGUGUAAUAACCUACGAUUGUGGAAAUGACUGUAACAACAUGUGGAUUUUCCCCUUUAGACUAAUUUUUAUCAUUUGGAAAAUGCUAGGAGCUUCCCUGGUGGCUCAGAUGGAAAAUAAUUUGCCUGCAAUGUGGGAGACCUGGGUUUGAUUCCUGGGUUGGGAAGAUCCUCUGGAGAAGGUAAUGGCUACCCAUUCCAGUAUUCUUGCUUGGAAAACCCAUGGACAGAAGAGCCUGGAGGGCUACCGUCCAUGGGGUCUCAUAGAGUCAGACAUGACUGAACAACUAACACUUUCACGGUUUCACAGGGGGAAAAACAACCUCCCAGUGUUCCAAUACUUAUGAAAUCCAUGAGUGAUGAAAAUUUUAUGCUCAACUUGUCAUAAAAAAACAGAGAAACAGAGUCACCUGUAUCAGCUCUUCAAAUCAUCCAGCCACUCCUUCAAUAAAUGCCAUAACUGUAGAGGAAAGUCUCUAAAAAAAUAAACUUCUCCAGGAAGAGGAGAGAAGAGGAGGUAUGAAUGUAGGGGCGUGCAGGAGGCAGGGAAGUGUUGGAUGCAGCAGGAAGUGCUCUGGCGAGGGAACGGGGGCCUGUGCACCCCGCAUCCAGCCUCGGCCUCCUCAGCGGUAAUGUGUAGGCAGCACUGCACGCCUGGACACUCUCUAGCCAUCUUCCAUCUCUGCCUGUAAGUUCUACCCUAAGAUGGUGCAUUGGGCACUCAGGUUAUGCAGAGGCUACAUGCAGAGGGUUAUUGAUCAGAGUUCAAGCAUGGCUUCUGCAUAAUUCUCCUGCUUUUGAAGCUUACCCCUAUGGUAAUAUUGGGGUGUUAGCCAUUGUCCCUCCAUAUCUAAUGGUCCAUCCACACAUGUCUCACCCUCUUGGCAGUGGGCCAUGUCCUCCCUAUCUAGUAUACAGCGUUGCUCAGUAAAUGCUUGUUUUUUACUAAGCUUUAAGAAACAUUUUCAGAACAUGUUGGGGCUUCCCUUGUGGCUCAGCUGGUAAAGAAUCUGUCUGCAAUGCAGGAGACCUGGGUUUGAUCCCUGGGUUGGGAAGAUCCCCUAGAGAAGGGAAAGAGACCCUUCCCCAGUAUUCUGGCCUGGAGAAUUCCAUGGAAUAUAUAGUCCAUGGGGUUGCAAAGAGUCAGACACAACUGAACGACUUUCACUUUAGAACAUGUUUUAUUUAUCUUUAGUCCCUGCUUCCAACUGUCCACUGCCUUGUGGCCCUUCUCAUUUUCUUAAUAACAUCUGGGCAGAUUGCAUAACUUUCUGAUCACUUAAAAAUUUUUUUAAAUCAUAAUAAAAUACACACAACAUAAAAUUUACCAUGUUAACCAUUUUUUAAGAAGAUUUUUUUUCAUGUGGAUUGUUUUUAAAUUCUUUAUUGAAUUUGUUACAGUAUUGCUUCUGUUUUAUGUUUUGGUUUUUUGGCCCCAAGACAUGUAGGAUCUUAGCUACCUUAUCAGGGAUAGAACCUGAACCCCCUCCACUGGAAGGUGAGGUCUUAACCACUGGACCAUCAGGAAAGUCCCUUUCUUAACCAUUUUUAUGUGCACAGUUCAGUAGUGUUAGACAUUGACUUAGUUGUGUAACCCAUCUGCAGAAUGUUGCAUCUUACAAAACUGGUACUUUGUACCCAGUAAACUACAGCUCCCCACCACCCACCUAUGCCAGCUUCUGGCAACUGGCAUUCAUCUUUCUGUGAGUUGGAUAAUUCUAGGUACCCCAUAUAAGUCGGACACGACUGAAGCAACUUAGCAGCAGCGGCAGCAUAUAAGUGAAAUCAUAUAGCAUUUAUCCUUUUAUGUCUUGUCUUUUAUUAAGCAUCAUGGCCAUUCAUCUUGGACUGUGUAUCAGAACUUUCUUGCUCUUUAAAAGUGAAAGUCACUCAGUCAUGUCCAACUCUUUAUGACAACAUGGACAGUACAGUCCAUGGAAUUCUCCAGGCCAGAGUACUGGAGUGGGUAGCCUUUCCCUUCUCCAGGGGAUCUUCCCAACCCAGGGAUCGAACCCUGGUCUCCACAUUGCAUGUGGAUUCUUUACCAGCUGAGCCAAAAGGGAAGCCCCUUCCUCUUUAAGGCUGAAUAAUAUUCUAUUGUAUUUAAUACAUCACUUUUUAUUUGUUUUUUUACCCAGUGACAGAGACUUGGAUUAAACUGCAUGUUUUUAAAUGAAUGAAGAAGAAUUCCUUGGACUACAGGGAGAUUAAAAAUAGCUGAGCACUGAAGAAUUGAUGCUUUUGAACUGUGGUACUGGAGAAGACUCCUGAGAGUCCCUUGGACUGCAAGGAGAUCCACCCAGUCCAUCCUAAAGGAGAUCAGUCCUGAAUAUUCACUGGAAGGACUGAUGCUGAAGCUGAAGCUCCAGUACUUUAGCCACCUGAUGUGAAGAGCUGACUCAUUAGAAAAGACCCCAAUGUUGGGAAAGGUUGAAGACAGAAGGAGAAGGGGAUGACAGAAGACCAGAUGGUUGGAUGGCAUCACCGACUCAAUGGACAUGAGUUUGAGCAAGCACCAGGAGAUGGUGAAGGACAGAGAAACCUGGCGUGCUGCAGUCCAUGGGAUCCACGGAGAAUCAGACAAGACUGAGCAACUGAACAAAAAUUAAACUCAAAUCUUGCCCGUCAACAGCUGACUUUGAACCCACAUAUUAAGAAACUUCAAAAAAGUAUUGUUCUACAUAUAAAUCCCUCUUUUUAAAACUUUUGCAACUUUUGAUGAGAGUUUUCCCCCUUCUUAAAAAAGAAACUCACCUUUGUUGAGUAUUUACUCUCUACCAAAAGUUGCAACAUUUUCCAAGUGAGAAAAGAACAUGCUGUCAUGAUCUGAUCAGUGACACUGUUACUGCUAUUCAGGUGCUGCCAGGUUCCCGGCAUCAUGUGAACCCAUGACCCAAACAUACCAUCUGUGGGACACCACUUCACAUCCCUGACAUCUUGCCACAGUGAUUUUUUUUUUUUUUUUUACUGUUUUUACCAUAACAUUGUUGACUCCCAGGAAUGAUUUACUUGUUAUGAGAAUUUUCCAGUAAAUGGUAAUAAGACGCCACGAUCUAACAAAAUUAGAAUAUUACAACAAUUUUGACAAUGGAAGUAAAGAAAUUGUUUUUAACUUAAGGAAUUAUCAUAAUCAAAUGACAGUGUCAAUCUAGCACCUAAAAUAGCCAGUGACUCUAAACAAAGAUUAGGCAAGUAAUGAACUCACGGGUGAGGACUUGCACAUGUAAAAUUUUUUUUUAAAUCCUUAUUGUGAAUGGCACAGUGCCAGUAUAUAAUAUACUUUAUUGACAUUCAAAUCAUCUGUUGUUUUUUAAAGUACUAAGGUGAAAUUGCUGGGUCCCCAGUUUAAAUUGAAUUACCUUCAUUACAACAUG
ensembl:lncRNA